rnacentral:rRNA from 1 species
GUAAAGUACUUUCAGCAGUGAGGAAGGCAGGUACGUUAAUAGCGUGCUUGUUUGACGUUAGCUGCAGAAGAAGCACCGGCUAACUCCGUGCCAGCAGCCGCGGUAAUACGGAGGGUGCGAGCGUUAAUCGGAAUUACUGGGCGUAAAGCGCAUGCAGGUGGUUUGUUAAGUCAGAUGUGAAAGACCCGGGGCGUCAACCUCGGAAUUGCAUUUGAAACUAGGCAGACUAGAGUACUGUAGAGGGGGGUAGGAAUUUCUAGGUGUAGCGGUGAAAUGCGUAGAGAUCUGAAGGAAUACCGGUGGCGAAGGCGGCCCCCUCGGACAGAUACUGACACUCAGAUGCGAAAGCGUGGGGAGCAAACAGGAUUAGAUACCCUGGUAG